AUAUCGUGAUGUGGACAAAGUCUCAUCAUGUCUUUGUAUCUCUCCCAUGCUUCAAAAACUAAUUCAUUAUCUUUUUGUUUAAACCCGUUUAUUGGGGAUCUUAGCAU